rnacentral:lncRNA from 1 species
AAAUUAUAAGUUUACGGGUUCCAUGAGGAUUUUUCAUGCAUUUAAACGACAGAAGUACAAGUGAACAGAUGACAUAUUAAAAGUGGCUGCAGAAGCUUGAAAAGUUAGAUAGAGCAGGGGCAGUCAAAUUAGUGGGAUAAUACUUCUAUGGUGUCCAACAUGUCUAGUCAGGUUGACAGAAGUGAAAGAUGGUCUGAUGGUACAAUGAUGUACAAAUGAUACUCUUUAACAAGUUUAAGAUGUCAAGGUGUAAAAUGUUCUGUGGAUUCAUAUGAUGAGAAUGCCAGUGUUGAUCUGUCUGACUUAAUUAAACACAGAUAUUGAUACCUUCAGAUAUAUACCUGUGAAAUCUUCAGUGUCACCGUUCAGCUAUUGUUCAAGAUCAGUGUCUGCAGCUUGCACA